AACGAACGCUGGCGGCAUGCCUAACACAUGCAAGUCGAACGAAGUCUUCGGACUUAGUGGCGCACGGGUGCGUAACGCGUGGGUAUCUGCCCUUGGGUACGGAAUAACUCAGAGAAAUUUGUGCUAAUACCGUAUAAUGUCUUCGGACCAAAGAUUUAUCGCCCAAGGAUGAGCCCGCGUAAGAUUAGCUAGUUGGUGGGGUAAAAGCCUACCAAGGCGACGAUCUUUAGCUGGUCCGAGAGGAUGAUCAGCCACACUGGGACUGAGACACGGCCCAGACUCCUACGGGAGGCAGCAGUGGGGAAUAUUGGACAAUGGGCGAAAGCCUGAUCCAGCAAUGCCGCGUGAGUGAUGAAGGCCCUAGGGUUGUAAAGCUCUUUUACCAGGGAUGAUAAUGACAGUACCUGGAGAAUAAGCUCCGGCUAACUCCGUG
rnacentral:rRNA from 1 species